CCGUGGAGGNUCAUUGGAAACUGGGAGGCUUGAGUGCAGAAGAGGAGAGCGGAAUUCCAUGUGUAGCGGUGAAAUGCGUAGAUAUAUGGAGGANCACCAGUGGCGAAGGCGGCUCUNUGGUCUGUAACUGACGCUGAGGCUNGAAAGCGUGGGGAGCAAACAGGAUUAGAUACCCNUGGUAGUCCACGCCGUAAACGAUGAGUGCUAAGUGUUGGAGGGGUUCCACCCUUCAGUGCNGGAGUUAACGCAAUAAGCACUCCGCCUGGGGAGUACGGCCGCAAGGCUGAAACUCAAAGGAAUUGACGGGGACCCGCACAAACGGUGGAGCAUGUGGUUUAAUUCGAAGCAACGCGAAGAACCUUACCAGGUCUUGACAUCCCGACGACCGCUCUAGAGAUAGAGUUUUUCUUCGGAACGUCGGUGACAGGUGGUGCAUGGUUGUCGUCAGCUCGUGUCGUGAGAUGUUGNNNNNANNNNNNNNNNCGAGCGCAACCCCUAUAACUAGUUGCCAGCAUUAAGAUGGGGACUCUAGUUAGACUGCCGGUGACAAACCGGAGGAAGGUGGGGAUGACGUCAAAUCAUCAUGCCCCUUAUGACCUGGGCUACACACGUGCUACAAUGGAUGGUACAACGAGCAGCGAACUCGCGAGGGUAAGCGAAUCUCUAAAAGCCAUUCUCAGUUCGGAUUGUAGUCUGCAACUCGACUACAUGAAGCCGGAAUCGCUAGUAAUCGCGGGUCAGCACGCCGCGGUGAAUACGUUCCCGGGUCU
rnacentral:rRNA from 1 species